GGGGGCGAUUUGGUUUCGACGUGGAUUACGAAACCUGAGGUGCAUGCCGAGGAUGUAGCUAUCCUCGUUAAAAAUGCUGCAAACUCUAUAGAUGCCAAAAACGAUGACAUCUUCGCUGGAGACUUUGCUGAAGCUGCCUAAGGGCAUUUUCAACACUGCAGCCGCUUAAAAACCGGCACGGCGCCAUUGCCCGGAUUUGCCCGUGGGUUCGGUGUCAAUGGUAAGACACAUGGGAUCGCGAUGAUAACCGUUCCGACUAUCGUCGCUAAACUUUAGGAGCUCGCGGUUUGAAAACCUUGUCUCGUCAGGUCCAAACCGUUAAAUUGAAGACGACUCUAAGCAUGUAGAGCCAAGGGCAGAGGAUUUGCGGACGCGAGUUCAAUUCUCGCCGCCUCCACCA
rnacentral:tmRNA from 1 species